GGGCGCAUAGCUCAGUUGGUAGAGCAGCUGACUCUUAAUCAGCUUGUCCCAGGUUCGAGCCCUGGUGCGCCCACCA
rnacentral:tRNA from 6 species